rnacentral:tRNA from 1 species
GAGGGUAUAGCUCAGUGAUAGAGUGUGUGCCUAGUGUGCACAAGGUCCUAGGUUCAAAUCCCAGCAUCUCCA